AAGUCACGAUAUCAAUCAUCAACAUCCAGAUUCUUCGUCUCCUCCUUCAUCGUCUCCUCCGUCUUUGAUGUCCCUGCCGUAUUGGUACUACGAAGAUAGCGGUGGAAGGUCUCCUAUAAAUUUGCAUGUUACCAGCGAUGAAGAACGCCAUAUCUAUGAAAUCUAUCAGUAUAAUCUCUGCUAAUUACCAGCCACAAUAUGGCGAAUUCCUUCACCCAAUCACCCUGCUUGCUGAUUUAGAAGAAGCCAGUUGCUGUUCAACCCCAGCCGAGGUCCAUCUUCUGAGGUUUUGGGAGGCUAGGAUUGUGUCUCAAGAUUCGGAUGCUCUCACUCCCAUAUUCUUCAGCAACAAAUCUCUAGGCGUUCUCGGUCCAAUUUCCUGUGACUAUAUAACCGAGACGAUGUUGAUUUGUUUGGCAUGGAUGAUGCCGCAGCCAAAUUAGGAGUUGAACGUUGGCUUAUAUAUGAUGUGGUCAAUAUAUUGGAGAGCCUUGGGGGUCUCACUUUCUUCUGAAAAAGUUUGCUCAUUUCACUCUCUCUGAGCUGAUUAUAUGUCUCAUUCAGGUUGUGUCUAGAAAAGGGAAGAAACUUUACUCUUGGAAAGGUUUGUUCAGAUUCUUCGCUCUCUAUCUCAACUCAAGAAGGUUUGAGAGAGGGUUUUUGCAUCUUGAGUAUGUGCAGCAGUUCCCACAGGAGUCCAGUUGCUAAGAAUUCGGGAAGCACACACGAAGGAGAGACGAAGAGGAAGUUCGAGAGUGUAUACAGUGGCAGAACAACAAAACAAUAGUUUAAUCUAAGGAAGUGGGAGACGAUUCCUUAUGCUGCUGGUGUCAUUGUCCCUCUAGCCUUAACCCUUUUGGUCCGUAACGCUAAGAAAGACAAGAAACGAGGCGUGAUUAUCGAUGUCGUCGGCGGAGAUCCAUGUCAUACCGUUAGAAACCACCAGUUCAGAGAUCCCGUCAGCUCUCACUGGGAAGACAUCUCCACUCUCCCAGAUCUCUUCGAGAUCUCGUGCAAGAACCACAGCGACAGGUUUUGCGGAUACGAGAGAAGAGUGGUUCAUUGCGUUACAGGGUUGAUUCAGGCGCAACGUCACUGUGGUUACUAUCUAUUCAUCUUUGGGAGAGGAAGCUCUUUGUCACUCGCUCAAUGAGAUAUGUUCAUUGUGUUCAUGGCAACCCACAAACAAGAAAUAGAGAGUUACAACAUUGCUACAGAAGGAGCACUCUCCAUUCUUGAUCUCUCUUACAGUACGAAGCUGCAAAAAAAAAAUUCACACCGUUAAUAAAUAAAUCAAGAUAUUGUGGCCAUCCUUAUAUGAUCAGUCACCUCUGUUGUUGUAUAUUUUCGCAAGAAUUAUCAUGUUGAGAUUUAUUACAAGAAGUUUGUGUUUUUUCUCCAUGUUAUGAGAUUCCUACUGGUUCUCAGGUA